rnacentral:sRNA from 1 species
UACUAAUGGCCUCAGUGAUGGUGACUAACCAGACCUUCUCAGAUACGGUGAUGAGGCUAAUGGGGGACUAAAAUUCAUGGUGAUGCCAGCUGAUGUAGGGUCAGUAGACAUGGGAGGACCAGUGCUUCUGGAGCAGGCCCGUGAUCUCGUCCCUACCAUUCCUGGCAGCGUGUGGGCUGUGGGGAGUGUGCAGCCUGCCAGGUAACAGAAGACUGUGGGGCCUGCUCCACCUGCCUCCUGCAGCUGCCCCAUGAUGUGGCAUCGGGGCUGUUCUGCAAGUGUGAACGGAGACGCUGCCUCCGGAUUGUGGAAAGGAGCCGAGGGUGUGGAGUAUGCCGGGGCUGUCAGACCCAAGAGGAUUGUGGCCAUUGCCCCAUCUGCCUUCGCCCUCCCCGCCCUGGUCUCAGGCGCCAGUGGAAAUGUGUCCAGCGACGUUGCCUACGGGGUAAACAUGCCCGCCGCAAGGGAGGCUGUGACUCCAAGAUGGCUGCCAGGCGGCGCCCCGGAGCCCAGCCACUGCCUCCACCACCCGC